UAGAUGCUUAGUCGGCCUCUACAUUCACUAAAAGAAAAAACAUGAAAAUAAAUCAUGUAUAAUAAUGGCACUUCACACUUGGAUGAUGAGCUGCAUUUGGAGAGGGACUCCAGUGGGCAAGGGCGCGUCCGUCAGACCAAGCUAACCUAGGGGUGGCCCUAAGACCAAGAAAAGUAUUGUUCGACCUUAAGACCGAUGCUGGAGCAGAGUGGCCCUAAGCCCGGGUGCAUGGGGGUCAAGGCAUACGACGUGGGCGCUUCGAAAGUGAAGAAGCGGUAGACUCGUGGGGGACGGGUGGGAGGGUGGCCAAGGGGUUCCAUCGCUGACCCAGGCCCGGGCACGGCCCGCGCUCAGGCGCGGUGGUGCUCGGGGGUGGCAUUUCGCUUGUGUGCGCGCGUGUGUGUUGCUCUGCCCUGGACUGCUCUGCCCCCGACCUUUGUUGCUGCCCCUGCCUCUGCCUCUGCCUCUCUCGGUCCCUUUCCUCCCUCCUUUCCUUGCUCUCUACUCCUCCUGGCGCCGUCUCUGUCUCUCUGAACAGUCAAGAUUUCAAAAUAAUAAGCGUAGCAAUCGAUCAUCUGCAAAAUUUCGGUAUCCUUAGAAAUCCAGGGUUUGAUUUCUGUUGCACCUUUUUAGGGUUCGUGGUUUGGUGGUCUCUCGGUUGUUGACCGCGAGGCAUCGUCGAGUGCUAUCCGUUUUUUUUUGUCUUCCGUCGGGCGCUUGUCCUUACGCGGCGGUGCAUCGCUGUGAGUGGGACGGGCCGUGGUUAAUCAAGGUGGAGCUGAGGUGCUCGAGGAAUGGAUGAUGAGCCUGCCAAGUGACACCGCGCCGGUUUCUGCACCGCUCGCCCUGGCUAAGCAGCACUACAAUCAGGCCCUGGAGCUAGAGAAGCAGCUACGGUCAUUGCUUCAGGUGAAGGGGCCAUUUGAUUCGAGUGUGCGAACAUUGCAAAAUUCUCUUCGAGAGAAAUACGAGUCAAUUAUUCUCGAGGACCAUGAGCUUGCCGAAUCACAUGAAGUGGAGCAAGCAAUUUGGCGUCUGCAUUACAAACAGAUCGAUGAAUUCCGAGCCAAAAUCAAGAAAAUCAAUCAUGCCGCAUCAACACUGAAAGGCGGAACGCAGAGGGAUUCCGUUCUCAAGAUCAUUGCCGCAUUCAAGAGCUUUCUAGCUGAAGUAACAUGUUUCUACCACAAUCUUAUUUUGAAGUUGCGGGCUAGGAAUGGCUUGCCUCAAGAUUGCUCUGCCUUUGGGAGCAGUGGUAAUGGGGUCAUAACUGGAGAUGACAAUGAACGGAGGGCUAGAGUGAAACGUUGUCAGCUUUCAUGUCACCGUUGCUUGAUAUUUUUAGGCGAUUUGGCCCGGUACAAGGAAGUGCAUGGAAAUCUUCAGGAUACUCGCUCUAUGGACUUCUCUGUUGCUGCUGGGUAUUAUCUCCAGGCAGCUUCGCUGUGGCCAUCUAGUGGCAAUCCGCACAAUCAGUUGGCAGUGUUGGCAACCUACGUCAAUGAUGAACUCCUCGCAGUCUAUCGGUACUUCCGCAGUCUUUCCGUGGAGACGCCAUUUCUCACCGCCAGAGACAAUCUGAUUCUUCUCUUUGAGCAGAACCGACUUCAGUACAGUCAACUUCAUAUGUCGAAGAAUGCUGCACAUGGUGGCAGAAGAGAUCGGACUCUACCUCCUAGCAGUGGAACGAUGAAGUCAGCUAAGAAAGACCUCAAAUCAGAGGAAGCAAAUGUAAUAGCAAGCCCACCCAAGAACUCUGAUUUGAUGAGGAAUCUUCGCAUCCGUUUCGUGCGUAUGAAUGGAAUACUGUUUACACGUACCAGUUUGGAGACUUUUCCUCAGGUCUAUUUGGAAACAAUUAAUGACCUGCAGCGACUUUUGGCUGGGAAUGAUUCCAUUUUGGAGGCAAUCCUAGGGACUGAUUAUCAAAGCAGAACGUCUACGGGGAAUGUCGGGCCAUCAUUUGUGAUUCAAUUGGUUGCCAUUUUGAUAUUCACUGUUCAUAAUAUUAACUGGAACGCAGAUGCUGCAAAUCAUCCGACUUAUGCAGAGAUUUUACAAAGGUCAGAUCUUUUUCAGCAUGCUGUUACAGCAGCAUUCGAGUGUGCUGGGCGUCUAAUGCGUCGGUGUAACCAGUCGAAAGACCCGGCUCGCAGUGUGCUUCUUCCUGCAUUGCUCAUAUUUAUGGAGUGGUUAGCUGGCCGACCGGAGAUGGCGAUCGGAAGUGAAGUUGACAUGGAACAGGCCAGUGCAAGAUCCUCCUUCUGGGCCGAAUGCCUGGUUCUGCUUAACUGCGUCUUGAAGUUGAUCAAAGAGGAGGCAGGCACGAAGGAGUAUAUCACCAUUGGUUCAUUCGGCGGAUCAGUUGAGAAUGAACGUGGUGUUGCACUCAGGGAAGAUUUUGAGCUACAAGGUUUUACUCCACUUGCUCCAGCUCAGACUGCUUUAGAUUACUCAAAAGGUUUAUUUCGUGAAGUGAAAGGAGGCGAGCAUUUCAAAGUUCGCAUUAAGAGGUUGCUGGCUGCUGGGAAAGCAGUUGCCAAUGCUUUGGAAAGCACACAGAGAGGUAUUUGCUACGAUGAAGGGUCGAACAAAUUCAUUUUACCUCGUGAGGUACGGCAGGAUCAAAAGGAAGAAGAGCAUUCUGAUUCUGGCGUCGAAGAUACAGCUGGCAGUCAGGAAGACGAGAAAAGUGACACCGGGAUUACAUCGCAGAGCUGCAUUCUUGCCAGCGACAGUCACCUGAAAGCAGAAAAUUCAGUCAGGAGCUCUGUAAAAGUAAUAAAUGAAGAGGAGGAAGAAGAAGUGAUAGUUUUCAAGCCUUUGAGUAAGGACAGACCGUCUGCAUCUGAAGUUGCUGCAUCAUCCCUUUCCGAGAAAAUUUCUCCGGCUUUCUAUUUCCCCCCAACAUCUACUUCUGAUGCUUCUGUGCAGACCACUGCCAUGCCGAGUAUUACUGGCAAAAAUUCUUGGCUCCCAGAGGCUUUUGUGGGCGUUCAAUCAGGUCCUGUUGCAACAAAGUUCCAGGGUUCCUUUCACACAAGUGAGGGACAAGUUCAGAAUUCUUCUAAAGAGGGCAGCUACCCUCUGGAUGUUAGCAAAGCCAAGGGUUCUAGUAAGAGUGGUUUAGUUGAGCUUGCAACUCCUUUGCCCUUGAUUUCUGUAACAGGACCUUCAACGGUGUCGACUUCAUUGAUUCAUGAUGCAACAGCUUCCUUUUCAACCUUGAACCUGUCUGAUCUGAAUUCCUUAGGUAAUGGAACUGUGGUGACAAGGCCUCUUGAUGCCCUUACAAUGCCCCCGCCAGUGAUAAGCGCGGGAACUUGGUUGGAUCAGUAUACUGAUACUCCUCAAUAUACACCUUUAAGUACGGAGUCCUGGUUUCAGGAUCAAAAAAGCGUUUUCAUGAAUUUUCCAGACAAGGGGGUGAGUGCAAGCGCAGUUGUAGCGUCACAAGGCCAGAACGACGUUCGGUCACUAUGGAGUUCAGAGCGUGAAAUGUUGGAAAGGUACGGAAUAUCUGGGUUUGUCCCUAGCGGAACCACAGAUGACCGCCUCAACGGAGAAACAGUUCCGAAUUCGAGCCCUCUUUCACUCAUAACUACUUCCGAGACAACGUCAUCUUUUGAAUCAGGAAAGUACAUUGUGCCAGGUAAUCGAGAUACAAUAGCACCUACUAGUAGCAGCUGGAAUGUGAAGGAAUACCCUGUUCAAAGCAGGGCUAGUCAUCCUGUGAUGCGUCCGCCACCUGGUUUUGGACCUCUUCCAGGCAAGUCUGCAGCGAAACCAAAUUUGGGCAUCUCUCAGGGGUUAUUUCAGCCUCCCAGUGCGUUCCAAAGUCAGAAACCUAAAAUCGGAGAAGAUAACGUUGAUGACUACGGAUGGUUGGAUGAUUUCAGAAGUGUUAAGCCUGUUGCUCUUCAGUCUGGAUAUUCUGGGGAGAGAGACUCCCAGCUUAGAAGUAACAGUCACAGUUUAUGGUCUGUAAGUGAUGGCAUCAUCAAGAGUGGAGCCUACGAUAGCGCACCUUUCCCUUUUCCAGGGAUGGGGGCUCUGCAUCAUCGAAAAUUCAAUAGCAUGGUUCCAACUCAUAUUCAAGCACAAUCUUCCUACUCGGAACCUCAGAUCAAUUACAGUGACAUGCAGAAGCCCACUGAUGAAGCCCAGUCGCAAGCAAUAAUUCAAGGAGACCUGCAACAGCUUCAGCACCAGCAACUUCAACAUCAGCAGCUGAUGUUCCUUCAUCGCCAGCAACAACAAUACCGGCAGCAUCUGCCAGGGCAAAUUCAUUCACGUGAUCCUUUUGUCUCUUAAGAUGGAUGGCAGGAUCUGGUACUUUCACUUGUGGCAGGCAAGCUUAAUCGUUCAUCUUCCAUUGCGGACCAGAGGAGCACCUCCAAUAUCCAUGUCUGUUUUGCAGAUCACAUGAAGAGAUAUCCCAGUUAUAGCCCUGGACUGUCGGUGCUCUUGGUAUCUUCUCUGGUGUUCACCAGUAUGUUGUCGAGUUGAUUUACUCAAGUACAUCGCCUUCAAACACCCAGGAGCUGAAUUCUAUUGGAGCAAGCGCAGGCUUCAUUCAUAUUCUCUUCUAGUUGGUUUACUUGACGGUGUGUGAAGCUUUGUUUGUCCCUACGAAAUCGUUCCCUCGCAAAAUUACUGAGGCUCAAGUCUUUGAAAUCAGGCUCCUUCUCAGGUUCCUUGGUGUCUUGGCUAUGUUGAAUGAUUCAGCAGCAAGGACUGGAAAAGCAGGUGUUGGGAUUGUCGAAAACAGACGUGGUUGCUCUGGUUUCUGGAGUGGACUUGUUCUAUUUCUAGGACUAAUUGUAGAUGUUUUUGGUUCGAAGCUACUCCUGGUCAGGGUCUUAGUAUUCUGGUACUGUUCACUACAUAUGAACCAUCUCAUCUUGUUAUUAAUGUUUGAUGUAGACUUGCAUACCUUGGGAGGAACCUAAUGCAGGUCAACUCCUUAGAAGCAGCAGAUUGUAAGGAGUGAUUGUUUCGUGUUAUCACAGUGUUAUGUAGUUUUAACAUGAUCUGGUGGAAUUUAGGGGGCAUGUGUCUCAAGUUCUGGCGUUUUCUUCUAGCGGAAGGUGGACCCCAUGAGCUUAGACCAGACAGCAUGAGAUGAUGUUAGACCCUUUGUAAACCAAGUGUACUGCAGUUAAUUUCAGUUUUUGAUGUCGAAGCAAAAUGGGUUCAGCAGU